GGCUCAGGAUGAACGCUAGCGGCAGGCUUAACACAUGCAAGUCGAGGGGCAGCGCGAGUAGCAAUACUUGGCGGCGACCGGCGCAAGGGUGCGUAACGCGUGAGCAACAUGCCCGUAUCAGGGGGAUAAUCCAGGGAAACUUGGUCUAAUACCCCAUAGUAAUUUUGUAAGGCAUCUUAUAAGAUUUAAAGCUUUGGUGGAUACGGAUUGGCUCGCGUGACAUUAGCUGGAUGGUAAGGUAACGGCUUACCAUGGCUAUGAUGUCUAGGGGUUCUGAGAGGAAGGUCCCCCACACUGGAACUGAGACACGGUCCAGACUCCUACGGGAGGCAGCAGUGAGGAAUAUUGGACAAUGGAUGGAAAUCUGAUCCAGCCAUGCCGCGUGAAAGGAAGAAGGUCCUAUGGAUUGUAAACUUCUUUUGUAUGGGAGCAAUAAGGCCUACGAGUAGGUUGAUGAGAGUACCAUACGAAUAAGCACCGGCUAACUCCGUGCCAGCAGCGGC
rnacentral:rRNA from 1 species